rnacentral:rRNA from 1 species
GAUGAACGCUAGCUACAGGCCUAACACAUGCAAGUCGAACGGGACUUGCCCCCUCGGGGACAAGUUUAGUGGCGAACGGGUGAGUAACGCGUGAGGAACCUGCCUUUCAGUGGGGGACAACAGUUGGAAACGACUGCUAAUACCGCAUAACACUUUGGGGGUCGCAUGAUUCUGAAGUCAAAGAUUUAUUGCUGAAAGAUGGCCUCGCGUCUGAUUAGCUAGUUGGCGGGGUAACGGCCCACCAAGGCGACGAUCAGUAGCCGGUCUGAGAGGAUGAACGGCCACAUUGGGACUGAGAUACGGCCCAG